CCAAUCUUCUUUUCCUCUUCCUCUCCCUCCCCCUCACGCUGUCUGCAGAGAGGAGGAAAAGCAAAGUUUGAGCCAUAGGAGACAGAGGAUCGUGAGGGAGCAGGGGGUAGCGGAUCGCGCAACAUGAUCUCAAGGUCGGAGCUAGAUCGGCAAGGCAGCUGGCGGUGGCAAAAGCCAUGCGCGCUUGCUGGCCGAGCUUGAAAACUAGAGAGAUAUUCUUGGGGGGAGGCCUUUUCUUGUUCGGCUGUGAGAGAGCAAACCCGAGAGAGUAAUAA
rnacentral:lncRNA from 1 species